rnacentral:rRNA from 1 species
GCCGAGAGCAGCAGGUCAUGCAGAUGCGAGUGCACUGCUUUGAUAUGGCUCUUUCGGGCUUCUAAUAGUUUGUAUGUAACAGAGCACCAUGUAAACCACAACCAUUCCAUGUCUCACCAUGGGCCAAGGGAAAACAAUGUAAACCUCGGGAAGGUGUACAACAUUAUUGGAAGUGUCUUCAGCUCGGUUGAGAAGGUGUUGUUCACAAAGAGGGCGCUCAUGAACAUAUGGUGUAAGAUAAGCCGAGAGCGAGCUGAUGACGAUGUGAGAAAGACGUUGGAAGUGUUCGCAGACAUUGUUGCAGGGGACCCAGACUUUACAUAUUCUUGCCGAUAG